AGCAGCCGCGGUAAUUCCAGCUCCAAUAGCGUAUAUUAAAGUUGUCGCAAUUAAAAGCUCGUAGUUGAACUUCGGGGUUUACCCAUUGGUCAGGCUUAAUUGUCUGUACUGGUGAGAUGAAUCUCUACCUUCUGAGGAACUUUCAUGCCAUUUAUUUGGUGUGAUUGGAAAUCAGGACUGUUACUUUGAAAAAUUAGAGUGUUUAAAGCAGGCUAACGUCUGAAUACAUUAGCAUGGAAUAAUAAAAUAGGACGGUUGGUUCUAUUUUGUUGGUUUCUAGGAUCACCGUAAUGAUUAAUAGGGAUAGUUGGGGGCAUUAGUAUUCAAUUGUCAGAGGUGAAAUUCUUGGAUUUAUUGAAGACUAACUACUGCGAAAGCAUUUGCCAAGGAUGUUUUCAUUAAUCAAGAACGAAGUUAGGGGAUCGAAGACGAUCAGAUACCGUCGUAGUCUUAACCAUAAAACUAUGCCGACUAGGGAUCGGACGAAGUUAAUUUUAAAUGACUCGUUCGGCAUCCUUA
rnacentral:rRNA from 1 species